GAGCGCUUGCCUAGCAAGCGCAAGGCCCUGGGUAAUAAAAUGCUCCUGAGAGGAGAAGGCGGCUGUUCAGAGCUUUAUGCACAGGACUCAGGUCCUCGGCACGAACAGCAAGUGCUCUUCAGCCCUGGGUUGGCUCUCUGAGCCCACACCGCUCUGCUUUCCUUAGGUCUCUAGAGUUGAUGUUCCGGUCGUGACUGCUCCCUGAUUCUCUGUUGUCUAUCUUGUCUGCUGUGGAGCAAGCAGCUCAGCCUUCCGCAGCGACUCACUUCCCGGUUCUCCAGUGCCCCCUUGUGACUUCCGGUCUCACAUUUGGGCAAGAAUAACACAGAAGCGAUUUUUUGUGUCCUCAGAGCCUCAUGUUGGGAGCCACAGGAUGCUGAUUACCCCAUAACUGAUGACACUCGUCUACACUAACAACACAAGAAGAGACUAACCCAAGGGGAAAGGCAGCCCAGAGUUCCCAACCAUGUCCCUGCAUCUGUGUAGGCAGAGACCUUUACAAUGGAGGCUUCAUGGGACCUGGGCACCUUUGGGAGUUAUAGCUGGAGUUACAAGUAUGGCAAGCGUCUGGACCUUGGUUUGAGUUUUUCUGUUGGCCUGCGGCUGGAAGAUCCUGCUAUCCUAAGCUUGGAGUGAGCCUUGUAGGCAAAUCAAGUGAGCUUACAGUUGGUCCUCUUUGGAGCCUGGGGCUUUUUAACCUCAGUAGGCUUUGCCAAGGCCUUGAUACCCUCAAGAGUGCACUCAUGACCUUGGUCUUGGUUUCUGUGACUUCUUUAGGUCCCAUGAUUCUUGGCAAAAUGCAUGUUCCUUAGGAGCUUUCUAUCUGCCCUCUUAGGAGGCUCAUCUCUGUCCUUGUGGCUGGAAAUGUUUGCAUAUCUGUGGCAUAUGUGUGUAAGGGCAUCUUUUCUGUGAGUGCACAGCAUGUGUGCCCAGGAGGACACCAGAAACUACAGGUUUCCCCUAUGGCCAGUGAACCCCCAAGACCCACCUUCCUCUGCCUGCCAGCACUGAGGUUACAGAUCCACCACAUUUUUACACGCUGCUGGGAAUCCAAACUUCAGCUCUCAUCUUGUCUGUUUGAGGAAGGCUCUUGUGUAGCAGAGGCUGGUCUCAAACUCAGUGUUGACAUCAGGAAUGGGCGAGGUGGUCAAGCUCCCGUGCUGACUCUGCUGAUGAAAAUGAGAGCAACCGCAUCAGGUUACCUCGCAGGGUGAUAGGCCCUCUGUGAGAGUCAGUGCUCAAGAGGCUUGUCUGUACAGUGACACCGUCUAUAGAAAACUUAAAGUCUGAAAAGGCAGGUGUGCUACAAGUGAUUGGAGUGAACCAGUUGUAGUCAGCUGUUCAACAUCAUCAGACAUGUUCAGAUACAGUAACGCUACAAAGAAAAGUAGGGAGGAGCAGGAGGGCAGGAAGAGAACACUAGGGUUAUGCUCUUCCAGUCAGAGAUGCUCUAGCAUUGAUCUUUGUGCAAAUAAGCAGUUUUAGAAAGAUGUUUCAGGGGUUGAGGAUUUGGCUCAGUGGUAGAGCGCUUGCCUAGGAAGCGCAAGGCCCUGGAUUCGGUCCCCAGCUCCGGGAAAAAAAAAAAAAAAAGAACCAGAAAGAUGUUUCAGUGGUUAAUUGCACUGGCUGCUCUUCCAGAGGACCUAGGUUCAAUUCCUAGCACCCACAUGGCAGCUUGCAACCAUCUGAAUCUCCAGUUCUAGAGGAUCCAACCCCCCUCUUCUGGCCUCCAGCAGCACCAGGUAUACACAUGAUGAACAUACGUACAUACAAACCAGACAUCCAUAUUCAUACAAAAUAAAGCAAAUAGGGCCAGGGGGCAGUGGCACACACCUUUAGUCCUAGCACUUGGGAGGCAGGUGAAUCUCUAUGAGUUUUGAGGCCAGCCUGGUCAACACAGCAGGUUCCAAGACAGCUAGGGCUACACAGAGAAACCAAA